UGUGGGGUCUUGUCCCCUGACCAGGGAUGGAACUCCGGGCCCCCUGCAUUGGGAGCGCAGAGCCUUAACCAAAGGACCCCCAGGGAAGCCCUGCGACCUGUUGUUUUAACAAGUGUCAGUUUUCUCACCUGUGAACUGGGGACAGGAAUUGUCAUCUGCUGGGGUUUUCAGAGUAAAAUGAGCUCAUUGGCAUCGGGCGGACACUCAUUCAAUGUCCGUGAUUGUUUUCAUUGUUCAGCAGAUAAGUACAGAGAGAAGACAGACAGAGUCGUAGGGAGGGGACUCAGGCCAGAGAGCGGUAAAUAGACACCAGAAAUGAGAAGAUUGCCAAGAGUGCCGAGUGCCUGGAAGAAAAUACAAGCGGUCCAGGUGAUGGAAGGCGGACGUGGAGACAACUGGACGUGUCCAGAGAAUGGUUUUGAGGCAUAAAGAAAAAAGAGAUGAUCGACAGUGAAAGGACGUUGCCGGCAUCAGAAGAAAAAUACCGCCAAGAAGGAAAUAAAGGAGCUCGCGUGGACAUGCAAAAGCCACGAAGAAGCAGAAAAUGCGAACGAAGGCCAAGACUUGACUCCUUCAGGCAGGCUACUCACUGUUCCGUUGGUGCCACCGGGCUGCGUGCAGGAAGCUCUCGCAGUAAUGCAUCAGGAACUCGUGCUCCGAGUGCUGGGCUGUCCCCAGGAGCAAGGGCAGCAGGUCCCGGCCGUCAAUCACCCUACAGGCAGGAGCACAGGGACUCAGGGCGGAGUGGUUGGAAGGUGGGCGUGGCCUUAACAAGCCCAGGGCAGCCCCGGGGCAGUCAGCACCCCAUCCGCCUGCACACAGCGCCUUCGGCUAAAAGAUGUUGGAGGGUCCAGCUUGCUCGGCUGAAGUAAUGGUCCCCCCAGCCUUAUUCUGAAGGCACAAAUAGCUGAACAAAAUGGAAACACCUGCUUGGUUCUAUAUGGAUUGGAGCUUUAAGUCGUUAUAGAACAUGCGGCAUUCUUCAACAAGACCUGGAAUCAUUUCAUAAAUAUAUAUAAUAAAAGAAAUAUAUAUGCAUAUAUAGUGUAUAUAUGCAAUAUACAUCAUUGUAUAA